rnacentral:ncRNA from 1 species
AAAGUCUCAAAGGGGUGCCAAUUGGCUGAGAUUAUACCCAUAGAACCUGGGCAGGUAAUGCUGCCAAGGAAAAGAUUAAUAACUUAAG